UAAGGUCCAAUGUAAUUUAGAAAUAGUUGGCCUAAUAAUCUAAUUUGGUUAAAACUUAAACGAGGAUUAUUAGGCACCAUUGUUUCUUGAUUACCUUAGAUCUUG
rnacentral:pre_miRNA from 1 species